rnacentral:rRNA from 1 species
GGAAUCUUGCACAAUGGGGGCAACCCUGAUGCAGCAACGCCGCGUGAGUGAAGAAGGCCCUUGGGUUGUAAAGCUCUUUCGGCUAGGAAGAAGGGCGGACGUCCUGGAUAAGGGCGUUGCUUGACGGUACUAGAAGAAGAAGCACCGGCUAACUCCGUGCCAGCAGCCGCGGUAAUACGGAGGGUGCAAGCGUUAAUCGGAAUUACUGGGCGUAAAGGGUGCGUAGGUUGUUUGGUAAGUUAUCUGUGAAAUCCCUGGGCUCAACCUGGGCAGGUCAGAUAAAACUGCUGAACUCGAGUAUAGGAGAGGGUAGUGGAAUUUCCGGUGUAGCGGUGAAAUGCGUAGAGAUCGGAAGGAACACCAGUGGCGAAGGCGGCUACCUGGCCUAAUACUGACACUGAGGCACGAAAGCGUGGGGAGCAAA